UCACCCGUUCCCAUCCGAUCACAGAAAAGCAACGUCGAACUUGGUCAGUACCUAGAUGGGUGACCAGUUGAGAAUACCAGGUGUUGUAAG